GGUGGUUCUCCGGUGAUGUACCCCAGAAUCGGGCUCCCUCCUCUCUGGUUCUGGGGUGCAUCACCCGAGAACCACU
rfam:Myotis lucifugus cont2.12756, whole genome shotgun sequence.